UUCCGGUUGAUCCUGCCGGACCUGACUGCUAUCGGAUUGAUACUAAGCCAUGCGUGUCAUUGUAGUAAUACAAGGCAGACGGCUCAGUAACGCGUAGUCAACCUACCCUGUGGACGGGGAUAACCUCGGGAAACUGAGAAUAAUACCCGAUAGAACAUUAUGCCUGGAAUGGUUUAUGUUUCAAAUAAUUUAUUGCCGUAGGAUGGGACUGCGUCCUAUCAGUUUGUUGGUGAGGUAAUGGCCCACCAAGACUAUUACAGGUACGGGCUCUGAGAGGAGUAGCCCGGAGAUGGGUACUGAGACACGGACCCAGGCCCUAUGGGGCGCAGCAGGCGAGAAAACUUUGCAAUGUGCGAAAGCACGACAAGGUUAAUCCGAGUGGUUUCUGCUAAAGGAACCUUUUGUCAGUCCUAGAAACACUGAUGAAUAAGGGGUGGGCAAGUUCUGGUGUCAGCCGCCGCGGUAAAACCAGCACCUCAAGUGGUCAGGAUGAUUAUUGGGCCUAAAGCAUCCGUAGCCUGCUUUGUAAGUUUUCGGUUAAAUCCAUACGCUCAACGUAUGGGCUGCCGGGAAUACUGCAAAGCUAGGGAGUGGGAGAGGUAGACGGUACUCGGUAGGAAGGGGUAAAAUUCUUUGAUCUAUUGAUGACCACCUGUGGCGAAGGCGGUCUACCAGAACACGUCCGACGGUGAGGGAUGAAAGCUGGGGGAGCAAACCGGAUUAGAUACCCGGGUAGUCCCAGCUGUAAACUAUGCAAACUCAGUGAUGCAUUGGCUUGAUGCCAAUGCAGUGCUGCAGGGAAGCCGUUAAGUUUGCCGCCUGGGAAGUACGUACGCAAGUAUGAAACUUAAAGGAAUUGGCGGGGGAGCACCACAAGGGGUGAAGCCUGCGGUUCAAUUGGAUUCAACGCCGGA
rnacentral:rRNA from 1 species